AAUCCGCCGCCUAGAAUUGACUGGUUUGGACUAAAUGUUGCAAGCGGGGAACCUUGAGCUACCUACGCCAGCGUUCUGGAUUAUUUUCCAAAUUUGGUUCCUGAUAAUCUGAGAAAGCUAUGCGCUCAGUAAGAGCAGGGACCUUGUUUUAUCAAACUUUGAUCUUUCAUUAAGCACACAGUGGGCAUUCAACAAACUUGUGUAAACUUGGAAUCAGAUUUAGCCCAGGCCGGUGCGGUGGCUCCUUCCUGUAAUCCCAGCACUUUGGGAAGCCUAGGAGGGCGGAUCGCUUGAACUCAGGUGUUCGAGACCAGCCUGAGCAACAUAGCGAGGCUCCGUCUCUACAAAAAAUACAAACACUAGCCGGCCCUGUGGUGCAGACCUGUAGUCCCAGCUACUGAAGAGGCUGAGGUGGGAGGAUCCCCUGAGCCCAGGCGGUCGAGGCUGCAGUGAGCUGAGAUCGGGCCUCUCCAUUCCAGCCCGGGCGACAAAAAAUCCAGCUAAGUAAAAAUUGGCAAGAUCCUGUGACAAGAUCCUGUGACAAGAUCCUGUGAUCAAGACAAAGUUUUGCCCCCAAAGGACUUGAGGCUAUCUGGGAAUUCCAUGUUUGACAGAAGCGCUGACAGCAUAACCAAGCAAACAAGAAGGUAUUCAGGGACGCUGAAACGGAUCUUCAAAGAAGACUCAGUGGGUGAUUUUUAAUUUCUGUGUAGUAUUAUAGAGCUUAAUGCAGAACAUACCAAAACCUUGGAGAGGUAAUGAUAGGGUCAUGCAUUUCAUAAGGCAGAGUAAUGCCCUGCAACAACAAAAUAAAGUCAAAGAGUUCUA
rnacentral:lncRNA from 1 species